rnacentral:rRNA from 1 species
UACGUAGGGGGCAAGCGUUGUCCGGAUUUAUUGGGCGUAAAGAGCGUGUAGGCGGCUUUACAGGUCCGUUGUGAAAACUCGAGGCUCAACCUCGAGACGCCGGUGGAAACCGUAAAGCUAGAGUCCGGAAGAGGAGAGUGGAAUUCCUGGUGUAGCGGUGAAAUGCGCAGAUAUCAGGAGGAACACCCGUGGCGAAAGCGGCUCUCUGGGACGGUACUGACGCUGAGACGCAAAAGCGUGGGGAGCGAACAGG